rnacentral:rRNA from 1 species
GGUGGGGAAAACCGUUGGAAACGACGGCUAAUACCGAAUGCGGCGCCCGGAGACAUCUCCGGCGACGCUAAAGGGGGGCCGCAAGGCUCCCCCUCUUCGAGGGGCUCGCGCACCAUCAGCUUGUUGCGGGUAACGGCCACCAAGGCUCACGGUUAGCUGGUCUGAGAGGAUGGCCAGCCGCACUGGGACUGAGAUACUGCCCAGACUCCUACGGGAGGCUGCAGUCGAGGAUCAUUCGCAAUGGGGAAACCCUGACGAUGCGACGCUGCGUGGAGGAAUGAAGGCCCUCGGGUCGUAAACUCCUGUCAUGAGGGAAAAGGCGAAGGGACCCAACACGUCCCCUAGUUGAUGGUACCUCAAGAGGAACGGGCGGCUAACUCUGUGCCAGCAGCUGC